rnacentral:lncRNA from 1 species
CCAGCAACCGCAGCAACAUCGCCCUAUAAACAUCAAAGGCCAGCAACACCAUCAGCGACCACAGAGUAUACAGGAGCCUCAAGAACGACACGUCAUGAAGCAUUACGAACGUCCACAACGUGAACGGCGUCCGCACCGCCAGAAGGGCCCAAAGAGGCAACAUCGCCCUGGUUCCCACUCAUGGAAUUACAAAGGACAAAAACAACAGCAUCGGUAUCCCCAGUAUCCCCAACAUCCCCAAUAUCGCCAGCGCCCACAGAAUCCUCAGGUUCCAUCCAGACCAUGCUGGAAGGGUGGCCAAAAAAGUCACCACAAGUGUUCAGAUCAGAAGGAAACUGACAGGUUGCCGGUACCUGACGAAUACUUUGGUGGUGGUGGUCAGGAUACGAAGGGCCAGAAGUGGAGACCCAUCGAGCCGGCUCAGGAGAACGGCACCAAAGGAGGUCAGAAAGGACAGGUUGACGACGUUGGUGCCUACGAAGACUACGCCGAGGAGGAGAACAGGGAUGACGAAGAAAGUUUUGAAGGAGGGCUGGAAGAGUAGAGAAGCAUAGGCAUGAGGAACGCACCCACUUUCCAUGCAAAAACGCCGAGACUUGGAGCCUUGCUUUGCUCUUCAUAUCAUGUGCAUGGAACUACUUGUUGCGGAAUAAUAAAGAUCAACUCAACUGUAAACGGCCCAAUACACUGAAGCACACAAGCUGACUGAGAAUAAACAUGUUUAUUUUCAUCUCUA